GACGAACGCUGGCGGCGUGCUUAACACAUGCAAGUCGAACGGGUCUGCCCUGUUUUUUGCGGGGUGGGUCAGUGGCGAACGGGGGAGUAACACGUGAGUAACCUGCCCCUCACUUCUGGAUAACCGCUUGAAAGGGUGGCUAAUACGGGGUGUUCUGGCUGUGCCGCAUGGUGUGGCUGGGAAAGAUUCACUUUUGGGGUGUUUUGGUGGGGGAUGGGCUCGCGGGCUGUCAGCUUGUUGGUGGGGUGAUGGCCUGCCAAGGCCUUGACGGGUAGCCGGCCAGACUGGGUCUGAGGCACGGUCGAGACUGCGGCGGGAGGCAGCAGUGGGGGGUAGUGCACAAUGGGCGGAAGUGUGAUGCAGCGACGACGCGUGAGCGAUGGAGGCGUGCGGGUUGUGAACCUCUUUCGCCGGUGAAGAAGGUCCUGCUCUUUGUGGUGGGGUUGACCGUAGCCGGGUUAUGAAGCGCCGGCUAACUACGUG
rnacentral:rRNA from 1 species